CAAAUUAGGGGCAAAAAUCUCAUUGUACUUAGCAACAAGCCAGAAACAAAGUUAUUUAGAUAAGGGGGAUGUAGAAGUGGAAGAGGAAGAUGGAGCGUACCAUGACCAGGAGGAGAUUUUGCUUGUUUACCUUUAGUAGAAGCCAAAGGUUCAGUUUCUCGAUUGGAAAGGAUUUCUUGAUUAUUUGAGAGACAGCAUGAGGAAAUCAGCAUACCCAGAUAUAAAAACCUUGCUGAGAGAAUCUCUAAUCUUGACACACCUCCAUAAACCACCCCACCUUCAUCUUUAAAAGAAGAGUCUGUUCUACAGAAUAUUGUAUGAAAAGAAAUACAGGUGGAAUACACUAGGGACCCUGAGUUUUCGCUGGAUCGGUGACAACAUGAUUUGACUAACUGGAUAAUCAAGUUAUUAUUCAAGGUAUUACCUCUUUAUACUUCAAUUUUCUCAUCUAUAGAAGUGGUGGACUAGAUAAUACGUAACAUACACUAACUACUUUCUAUAGUAAAUUGUGUUCUUGUGAACAGCAAGCUAAAGAUAAGAAUUUACAUCUCAUGCAUCUUUGUACCCUAUAAUAGCUAUUAUAGCCAUG
ensembl:lncRNA